GGAUGUUCUUGAUAAACUUCAACCACGUACAUAUGACAACCUUUACAGUGAAUAAUUGGGAACUAAAAUUACCACAACAAGCGCUCACUUCAGGGGAUACUCCAUCUGGUGGCGGAAAUGAGUAACUACAGCACAAGAAAUAAAAUCCAAAAUCAUCACAAGCAUACAUUUAAAUGUCUCCUCUCUCACAUAAAAUAACUUGUAAGUAUGUUUACAUGUAUCUGUAUGUAUUACAUGUAUCUCAUGCUGCUGUGAUUGACCUGUUUUGUUCUUACUUUGGUGUUUAUUUGUUC